rnacentral:rRNA from 1 species
UACGUAGGGUGCAAGCGUUAAUCGGAAUUACUGGGCGUAAAGCGUGCGCAGGCGGUUCGUUAAGUUCGAUGUGAAAGCCCCGGGCUCAACCUGGGAACUGCAUUGGAAACUGGCGAGCUUGAGUAUGGCAGAGGGGGGUGGAAUUCCGCGUGUAGCAGUGAAAUGCGUAGAGAUGCGGCGGAACACCGAUGGCGAAGGCAGCCCCCUGGGCUGAGAUUGACGCUCAGGCACGAAAGCGUGGGGAGCAAACGGG